GACCUAUCAGCUUUAGACGGUAGGGUAUUGGCCUACCGUGGCUAUGACGGGUAACGGGGAAUUAGGGUUCGAUUCCGGAGAGGGAGCCUGAGAAACGGCUACCACAUCUAAGGAAGGCAGCAGGCGCGCAAAUUACCCAAUCCUAAUACAGGGAGGUAGUGACAAGAAAUAACAAUACAGAGCCUUACGGUUUUGUAAUUGGAAUGAGUUAAGUAUAAACCCCUUAACAAGUAUCAAUUGGAGGGCAAGUCUGGUGCCAGCAGCCGCGGUAAUUCCAGCUCCAAUAGCGUAUAUUAAAGUUGUUGCAGUUAAAAAGCUCGUAGUUAAUUUUCUGUUAAUUUUUAUAUACAAUACUACGGUAUUUAUAUAAUAUUAACAUAAUUCAUAUUACUUUUUAGUAUAUGAAACUUUACUUUGAGAAAAUUAGAGUGCUUAAAGCAGGCUAUUGCCUUGAAUACUCCAGCAUGGAAUAAUAUUAAGGAUUUUUAUUCUUCUUAUUGGUUCUAGAAUAAAAAUAAUGAUUAAUAGGGACAGUUGGGGGCAUUUGUAUUUAACAGUCAGAGGUGAAAUUCUUAGAUUUGUUAAAGACAAACUACUGCGAAAGCAUUUGCCAAGGAUGUUUUCAUUAAUCAAGAACGAAAGUUAGGGGAUCGAAGACGAUCAGAUACCGUCGU
rnacentral:rRNA from 1 species